UAAAACGUCUAUAAAUGACUUUCUAAGUUUCCUGUCAAAUCUCAAUGUUCAACCUUAAGUGAAAAUUACCAUACUGGAGAUAAGAAUAGAAAGAAUUUCUAGUGAAGCAGUGAAAUGUGUAAAGAUUAAAAAGAAUACCAAGAAUGAAAGCACUAUGCGAGACUAACGCUUGGCCCCGAAAAAGAAAAGUUCUAGAAACAAAUGAGAUCAAAUACCUUAGUAGUUACAACCAUAAAUGAUGGAUACUAGACAGUGUGCAUAUCAACUUGUGUAGUGUUGUAAGUAAUGCAUUGAGUAUCCU
rnacentral:ncRNA from 1 species